rnacentral:misc_RNA from 1 species
CCCUCUCUUAUUUUACAUUCAUGAUGGUGGUUUCUCCAUGCUGUCUGCCAUUUCCCCCGUCUACCACAAUCACUGCGCUGCUCUAUCUGCUGAGGCUAACGUCCUCGUCGUCUCUGUGGCGUACGGUCUCUUCCCAACCCGACCAUACCAGCAUGCUAUGAAGAUUCGUGGGCAGCGCUUCAAUGGGCGGCGUCUCAUGUAAAUCGGAAUGGUCCCGGGCAGUGGUUGAAUGAUCAUGCUGAUUUUGGGAAAGUUUUUAUUGGUGGGGGUAGUGCAGGGGGUAACAUAUCGCACACUUUGUCGUUUCGCGUCGGGUCAACCCAAUACACGCCGGAGUGAAGGUGGUUGGGGUGAUUUUGGUACAUCCAUAUUUUGGUGGUACUGAAGAUGAUGAAAUGUGGCUGUACAUGUGUCCAGAUAAUAGAGGUUUGGAUGAUCCUAGGAUCAACACGCCUGUGGAGGAUAUUGCAAGGCUUGGGUGUGAGAAGGUGCUGAUUUUUUUAGCCGAGAAAGACCAUUUGAACAGUGUGGGCAAGAACUACUGUGAGAAGGUGAAGAAGAGUGAAUGGAAAGGAAGUUUUGAACUUGUUGAGAAUGAAAAGGAAGAAACCUGCUUCCAUUUGCAUAAUCCCGACCAUGACAAGGCUUUGGAGUUGAAGAGAAAGUUUGUUUCCUUUCUAAAACAGGAGUAAUUUCCAUGAGGCUAUGUAUAAUCUUGGUAACCUAUAAAUUUCACUAAAUAAAACAUGGCUUGGCC